ACUGUGGAGUGUACAAGAACUUGUGAGUAGAGUAUUGUUUAUAAUCGCCAAAGCAUACACAUUGAAGCAGUAA
rnacentral:sRNA from 12 species